rnacentral:misc_RNA from 1 species
GAUGAAGAACGUAGCGAAAUGCGAUAAGUAAUGCGAAUUGCAGAAUUCAGUGAAUCAUCGAAUCUUUGAACGCACAUUGCGCCCGCUAGUAUUCUGGCGGGCAUGCCUGUCUGAGCGUCAUUUCAACCCUCGCCCCCGGCUUUUGCUGGGAGCGGUGUUGGGGAUCGGCCGCCCGUCACUGGGAGGCCGGCCCCGUAAUAGAGUGGCGACCACGCCGUGUGCUCCUCUGCGUAGUAGUAAAUCACCUCGCAGGCGGACAGCGGUGCGGCCUGCCGUAAAACCCCCAACUCUUUCUGGUUGACCUCAGAUCAGGUAGGAAUACCCGCUGAACUUAAGCAUAUCAAUAAGCGGAGGA